rnacentral:lncRNA from 1 species
AGUGCCAACAAGCAUGCGGAAGCACUUCUUGCGUGAGAAGGUUUGGGGGAGCGGCUGGCACCUUCCAGAUCUAUUUACUCUGGUUCUGGAUUUGCAAACAUGACUGAUUCGGCUCAGCUAAGUUCACAGAGAGGUUCCUCUGAUUAAUUACUGUUAUAUAAAUUCACACUUGGUGAUUUAUGGAAGGUUCUUGCCCUGCAGGAGGAGAAUAAGGACAGCAGGCUAGAGCUGAUCAGGGGCGGAGCAGCAGGAGGAGCAGGAGGAGGAGGAUGGAGAGGAAUGGGAGGAGUGAGAAAGUGAAAAGUGUAGAGCCAGAAGCGGAGUGUGACAGAGGGGAGUGAGAGUCCGGCUGAGGGGAGCUCUGCUGUCCUCCUCCUCUGCUUCAGACCACAUGGACACUUUUUCUCAGCUGGUCUGGGAUUAAAAGUGCCCCCUUGGUGGAUUACAGGAACAUCUGGAUCUUCUAGCCUGCACCCCCCCUCCCUGCAGUGAGGGAUCCCUGAGCAUGUUGCAGUGUGUGUGGACCGAGGAUACUACCAUGCAGAUGAUGCUUUUCCCGCCCGUGCCAUGCUGAGAGACAGGCCGAAUCUGGCGAGUGUGUCUCUGUGUCUGGCCUGUCUGCUAGCCCUGCUGCCCGAAGCGGCCGCCAAACCCCGCUGCACUCAGGACGUCCUCCAAACCCUCCAGGUCCUCGAGGACGAAGUCCCCCGCAAGAAGUCUUUGGACUGCAGACUGUACACGCCCACCAUCCUGGACUACAUGAAAUGUCCCGGCUCCUCUCUGAGGUGUUUUGCUGGUGAAGUUAAAGUCCUGACCGAUGAGUGGGAGAUAAAAAGCUGCAAGAACUGUUUGAAGCUGAACCGCAGCCUGACAGUUCUGGCUUCCCAGUUUCCACAGGUAGGACGGACACAGGUACAGUCUGCUUUAAACUACAGCAUCAUGUCGGGAAUGUUGAUGAUUGAAGUCAUUUUUCUGGGGUUGGUCUGAUCACAUGAGCAGAGUCACAUAAAGGAUCAGUGUGG